CUUCAGUGUUAGAAGACAAGUGGGGAGCGAGUGACCUGAAAGAAAAACCACAAUGGCCGAUCCUUACUAUCGAUAUGGUGCUUUCGCAGGCAGAGGUAUGCCUAAUUUUCAUGGCUACAUGUCAUCAGAAGUACCAUCUUUGGCUUCUCGUCAUAUUCCAUUCUCUAAUGAGUUGCGGGAUGCUGCUGCAGGUUUUCCGCACAGAGAGCCUGGGUCUUAUGGGUUGGAUAAUGUUUCGGGGAUUGGGGUUCAUUCUGAGCCUUUUAUUGGUGGAGUAAUACCAGGAGCUAGUGGAAAGCGGUACCCAUCUCCUCUAGAAGAUCCAAAUUUGCCAAGCCAAAGACGGGAUACAUCAGUUAACAUUACUCCAGCCAUUCCUGACAAGAUCAAUGACAGGCCCAGUUCUUUGAGAAAUGUUGAUGGUCCUUCAGCCCCAAGGGCAGAGUCAAACAUUCUGUUUGUUGAUGGGCUCCCUACCAAUUGCACUAGAAGGGAAGUAGGCCAUCUUUUCCGUCCAUUUAUUGGCUACAAAGACAUCAAAGUUAUUCACAAGGAGCCCAGACGUAGUGGAGAUAGGGCUACUGUCUUGUGCUUUGUGGAGUUCAUUGAUGCAAAGUUUGCUGUAACUGCUAUGGAAUCUCUUCAAGGGUACAAGUUUGAUGAUAAAAAUCCUGAGUCCCCUGUCUUGACGAUCCACUUUGCGAGCUUUCCUUUCCGUCUUCCAGCUGAUCGGGAUGAGCAGUGUGUUGGAAUCCCGCGUUAAUCACAACUUUAUUGGUGAAUUGAGAGUAGAACUGGUUGCCUUGCAUUUGAUAUGAUGCAAAAAGAUGCAGGCCUUCCUUUUCUAAAUUACAUAGAUAGUUUGCUACUAUUGUAUAUGCAAAUUCUAAGGAUUAGAGCAUC
rnacentral:misc_RNA from 1 species